rnacentral:rRNA from 1 species
UACGAAGGGGGCUAGCGUUGUUCGGAAUUACUGGGCGUAAAGCGCGCGUAGGCGGUUUUGCAAGCCAGAGGUGAAAUGCCUGAGCUCAACUUAGGAAUUGCCUUUGGGACUGCGAGGCUUUGAGGACGGGAGAGGUGAGUGGAAUUCCCAGUGUAGAGGUGAAAUUCGUAGAUAUUGGGAAGAACACCGGUGGCGAAGGCGGCUCACUGGCCCGUUUCUGACGCUGCAGCGCGAAAGCGUGGGGAUCAGACAGG